GUCCCGCGAGCCGCACGGUGGUGGCCUGGGCGCUGUCGGCGACCGUGAUCGCGGGCCUGCUCGGCGCGGCCGCGGGUUCC
rnacentral:tRNA from 1 species